UACGGAAGGCAGCAGUGGGGAAUAUUGCACAAUGGGCGCAAGCCUGAUGCAGCCAUGCCGCGUGUAUGAAGAAGGCCUUCGGGUUGUAAAGUACUUUCAGUCGUGAGGAAGGUGUUAAGGUUAAUAACCUUAGCAAUUGACGUUAGCGACAGAAGAAGCACCGGCUAACUCCGUGCCAGCAGCCGCGGUAAUACGGAGGGUGCGAGCGUUAAUCGGAAUUACUGGGCGUAAAGGGCACGCAGGCGGUUAAUAAGUUGGAUGUGAAAUCCCCGGGCUUAACCUGGGAAUGGCAUUCAAGACUGGUUAGCUAGAGUCUUGUAGAGGGGGUAGGAAUUCCAUGUGUAGCGGUGAAAUGCGUAGAGAUGUGGAGGAAUACCGGUGGCGAAGGCGGCCCCUGGACAAAGACUGACGCUCA
rnacentral:rRNA from 1 species